rnacentral:rRNA from 1 species
AACGAACGCUGGCGGCGUGCCUAACACAUGCAAGUCGUGCGAGAAAGUUCCUUCGGGAGCGAGUAAAGCGGCGCACGGGUGAGUAACACGUAGGUAACCUGCCCCCCAGUCUGGAACAACUAGAGGAAACUCUAGCUAAUGCCGGAUGAGACCACGAUCCCUUCAGGGGUUGCGGCCAAAGAUGGCCUCUACUUGUAAGCUAUCGCUGAGGGAUGGGCCUGCGGGCCAUUAGCUUGUUGGUGAGGUAACGGCUCACCAAGGCUGUGAUGGCUAGCUGGUCCUGAGAGGAUGACCAGCCACACUGGGACUGAGACACGGCCCAGACUCCUACGGGAGGCAGCAGUGGGGAAUAUUGCGCAAUGGGCGAAAGCCUGACGCAGCGACGCCGCGUGGGUGAUGAAGGCCUGGUCGUAAG